rnacentral:rRNA from 1 species
AGUGAACGCUGGCGGUAGGCCUAACACAUGCAAGUCGAACGGCAGCACAGUAAGAGCUUGCUCUUACGGGUGGCGAGUGGCGGACGGGUGAGGAAUACAUCGGAAUCUACUUUUUCGUGGGGGAUAACGUAGGGAAACUUACGCUAAUACAGCAUACGACCUACGGGUGAAAGCAGGGGAUCUUCGGACCUUGCGCGAUUGAAUGAGCCGAUGUCGGAUUAGCUAGUUGGCGGGGUAAAGGCCCACCAAGGCGACGAUCCGUAGCUGGUCUGAGAGGAUGAUCCGCCACACUGGAACUGAGACACGGUCCAGACUCCUACGGGAGGCAGCAGUGGGGAAUAUUGGACAAUGGGCGCAAGCCUGAUCCAGCCAUACCGCGUGGGUGAAGAAGGCCUUCGGGUUGUAAAGCCCUUUUGUUGGGAAAGAAAAGCAGCAGGUUAAUACCCCGCUGUUCUGACGGUACCCAAAGAAUAAGCACCGGCUAACUUCGUG